rnacentral:rRNA from 1 species
AACGAACGCUGGCGGCAGGCCUAACACAUGCAAGUCGAACGCUCCGCAAGGGGGAGUGGCGCACGGGUGAGUAACACGUGGGAACCUACCUUCUGGUACGGAACAACCAAGGGAAACUUUGGCUAAGACCGUAUACGACCUCCGGGUGAAAGAUUGAUCGCCGGAAGAGGGGCCCGCGUCCGAUUAGGUAGUUGGUGAGGUAACGGCUCACCAAGCCUUCGAUCGGUAGCUGGUCUGAGAGGAUGACCAGCCACACUGGGACUGAGACACGGCCCAGACUCCUACGGGAGGCAGCAGUGGGGAAUAUUGGACAAUGGGCGCAAGCCUGAUCCAGCCAUGCCGCGUGAGUGAUGAAGGCCUCGGUUG